UGAGUAACCUGCCUAUAACCUGGGAAUAACGACUGGAAACGGUCGCUAAUACCGAAUGUGGUGAUGAGGUGAAAUUCCUCCUCAUUAAAGUAGGGGAUCCAGCAACGGACCUCGCGGUUGUAGAGGGGCUCAUGCGAUAUCAGCUUGUUGGUGUGGUAAAAGCGCACCAAGGCUAAGACGUCUAGGCGGACUGAGAGGUUGACCGCCAACACUGGGACUGAGACACUGCCCAGACUCCUACGGGAGGCUGCAGUCGAGAAUCAUUCGCAAUGGGCGAAAGCCUGACGAUGCGACGCUGUGUGAGCGAUGAAGGCCUUCGGGUUGUAAAGCUCUUUCGCUUGGGAACAAGAGAAGUGGAUGAAUAGUUCGCUGAUUUGAGGGUACCAGGUAAAGAAGCACCGGCUAACUCCGUGCCAGCAGCUGCGGUAAUACGGAGGGUGCAAGCAUUAAUCGGAUUUAUUGGGCGUAAAGGGCGCGUAGGCGGAUUGGCCAGUCAGAUGUGAAAUUCCGGGGCUUAACUUCGGAGCUGCAUUUGAAACUACCAGUCUUGAGGAUAGGCGGAGAAAAUGGAAUUCCACGUGUAGCGGUGAAAUGCGUAGAUAUGUGGAAGAACACCUGUGGCGAAAGCGAUUUUCUAGCUUACUCCUGACGCUGAGGCGCGAGAGCAAGGGGAGCAAACAGGAUUAGAUACCCUGGUAGUCCUUGCCGUAAACGAUGUAUACUUGAUGUAGUUGGGCUCAACCCCGACUGUGUCGUAGCUAACGUGUUAAGUAUACCGCCUGGGGAGUACACUCGCAAGGGUGAAACUCAAAAGAAUUGACGGGGGCCCGCACAAGCAGUGGAGCAUGUGGUUUAAUUCGAUGCAACGCGAAGAACCUUACCCAGGCUUGACAU
rnacentral:rRNA from 1 species